rnacentral:rRNA from 1 species
GUCAGAGUUUGAUCCUGGCUCAGGACGAACGCUGGCGGAAUGCUUUACACAUGCAAGUCGAACGGUAGAGGGGGCAACCCCUCGAGAGUGGCAAACGGGUGAGUAAUAUAUCGGAACGUGCCCAGUCGUGGGGGAUAACGUAGCGAAAGUUACGCUAAUACCGCAUACGAUCUAAGGAUGAAAGCGGGGGAUCGCAAGACCUCGCGCGAUUGGAGCGGCCGAUAUCAGAUUAGGUAGUUGGUGGGUAAAGGCUCACCAAGCCAACGAUCUGUAGCUGGUCUGAGAGGACGACCAGCCACACUGGUACUGAGACACGGACCAGACUCCGUACGGGAGCAGCAGUG